GAUCAGAAAGGCCAACUUUCUUCAACGAUGUUUCAUCCAUAUUUUGCUGACAUGUACAUGCAUGGUUCUUGCGGAUUAUAUAGAUAAUGACGUCUCUUGCCCUAAUAUGACGAUCUCUUGUCCUACAAUUAAAGCACCAGGUUCUGAUGAUGUCAUCCAACUGGUGCAGAAGAGGGUACCACGUGAUCAUAUGGCAAUCCGUCGACAGAUGAAAGGAAUUGAUCUGUAUAUUGUAUGCUCCAUACCAGCUUGCUUGUCUAACCCUUGUCUACACGGAGGUACCUGUAAUGAGACCAUUGAUGGAUAUGAGUGUCACUGCCUCUUCAGCUUUACU